rnacentral:lncRNA from 1 species
UACCACAUCCAAAACAUUCCUCACUAUUAGCUCUGCAUGCACCUAGCACUUCUAACACUACUCUAGGAUUUGGAACCUGGCGUCCUAUUAUGACUGACAUCUCUGGAAUUUGGUACGGGCACACUUGCUAAGGAUAGAGCUGGGACUGAAGUUUUCUAACUAAUGUGAGAACGAUUAGCACCCUGGGACCCAGCUUGAGAAAAGUUAUAACUACCUGUUCUGAACCUCUUAUUAGACCCCCCUCUCUCCUUAGAUUUAUCUUUCUUCAUCUAAUGGGCAUGCAUUCUUAACCUAGAAAGAUCCAUGUCUCUAUUGAUCAUAAUGGUUCUACAC